GAUGAACGCUGGCGGCGUGCCUAAUACAUGCAAGUCGAGCGAAUGGAUUAAGAGCUUGCUCUUAUGAAGUUAGCGGCGGACGGGUGAGUAACACGUGGGUAACCUGCCCAUAAGACUGGGAUAACUCCGGGAAACCGGGGCUAAUACCGGAUAACAUUUUGAACCGCAUGGUUCGAAAUUGAAAGGCGGCUUCGGCUGUCACUUAUGGAUGGACCCGCGUCGCAUUAGCUAGUUGGUGAGGUAACGGCUCACCAAGGCAACGAUGCGUAGCCGGACUGCGAGGGUGAUCGGCCACACUGGGACUGAGGCACGGCCCAGACUCCUACGGGAGGCAGCAGUAGGGAAUCUUCCGCAAUGGACGAAAGUCUGACGGGGCAACGCCGCGUGAGUGAUGAAGGCUUUCGGGUCGUAAAACUCUGUUGUUAGGGAAGAACAAGUGCUAGUUGAAUAAGCUGGCACCUUGACGGUACCUAACCAGAAAGCCACGGCUAACUACGUGCCAGCCGCCGCAGUAA
rnacentral:rRNA from 1 species